AGUCGAGGGGAAACGACAUCGAAAGCUUGCUUUUGAUGGGUGUCGACCGGCGCACGGGUGAGUAACGCGUAUCCAACCUGCCCACCACAUGGGGAUAACCUUGCGAAAGUAAGACUAAUACCCAAUGAUAUCUCUAGAAGACAUCUGAAAGAGAUUAAAGAUUUAUCGGUGAUGGAUGGGGAUGCGUCUGAUUAGCUUGUUGGCGGGGUAACGGCCCACCAAGGCGACGAUCAGUAGGGGUUCUGAGAGGAAGGUCCCCCACAUUGGAACUGAGACACGGUCCAAACUCCUACGGGAGGCAGCAGUGAGGAGUAUUGGUCAAUGGACGAGAGUCUGAACCAGCCAAGUAGCGUGCAGGAUGACGGCCCUAUGGGUUGUAAACUGCUUUUAUAAGGGAAUAAAGUGAGUCUCGUGAGACUUUUUGCAUGUACCUUAUGAAUAAGGACCGGCUAAUUCCGUGCCAGCAGCCGCGGUAAUACGGAGGAUUCAAGCGUUAUCCGGAUUUAUUGGGUUUAAAGGGAGCGUAGGCCGGAGAUUAAGCGUGUUGUGAAAUGUAGACGCUCAACGUCUGCACUGCAGCGCGAACUGGUUUCCUUGAGUACGCACAAAGUGGGCGGAAUUCGUGGUGUAGCGGUGAAAUGCUUAGAUAUCACGAAGAACUCCGAUUGCGAAGGCAGCUCACUGGAGCGCAACUGACGCUGAAGCUCGAAAGUGCGGGUAUCGAACAGGAUUAGAUACCCUGGUAGUCCGCACGGUAAACGAUGGAUGCCCGCUGUUGGUCUGAAUAGGUCAGCGGCCAAGCGAAAGCAUUAAGCAUCCCACCUGGGGAGUACGCCGGCAACGGUGAAACUCAAAGG
rnacentral:rRNA from 1 species